UCAGGACACUGGGUUCCCUACGAGCUGCCCCAGGCUUAAUGAUUGUCCAGAAGGUGGCUAUAAAGGGAGCCUGGGAGGCUGGGUGGAGGAGGGAACAGAGAAAGCCUAACUCAGCAGAUCUGGUCACUGAGAGAGCCACAGGCAGGAGCUGUGGUCGGAGGCUUCGUGUCUUGGCCAGUGGGGCCUGCUCCCUUCCACCAUGGCCGCCCAAGGCUACGGCUAUUACCGCGCUGUGAUCUUCUCAGCCAUGUUUGGAGGCUACAGCCUGUACUACUUCAACCGCAAGACCUUCUCCUUUGUCAUGCCAUCGUUGGUGGAGGAGAUCCCUCUGGACAAGGACGACUUGGGUGAGCCACGGAAGGGCAGGGUGGUGGGCCCUGGGACCCAGGACCCGUAGGACAAGUUGGUGUUGGUGGCAGUGUUGUGCAUAAAGGCACGUAGCGUGUGUGGAGCGUCUGCACAGUGGAGGGUAGGGAGAGUCGGCACACGCCGACCGGACUCUGAAAACCAUACGCCUGGCUGUGGGCUAAGCACCAGGAGUGUCGUCGAUACGCGUCUGAGGAGGGCUGCCUAUGUGAUGUGUCUUUGUGUGCCUGUGACCCACACGUGCCCCCACAGGUCUGGCUUAUUCCGAGUAUGUUUAGGGGGCUUCUGGGCAUGGUUUCCACACCUCGUGGGUGCGUGCUAAGACCACAGGGUGCACGCUGGCCACUGACGUCGUAAGCAAUGGGAACUGGAGACUUGGCACAGAAACUUCACGUGGCCCCGCACGCUACAUUUCAGGGGGAAUAACGUCCUUGAUUCCAAUUCUAAGCUCUUUGCCCCAUGCCCAGAGGUGGGGGUGACGGAACUGCUAGAAGCCCUGGGUCGGCAUCCAGGGUGAGGAGGAAAUGUAAUCAGGCAUGGGUAGAUCCCAGGGUGGGGCUGCCCUGUUCUCCCCUUCUUGCCCCCUGACAGCUGCAGCUGGAACUCUCCAGGUUGAAAAGUCAAGGGUCAGCCUGGGGCUAGCGCCGGCGGUGAGGAGGGGUAGCGGCGCCCCUGAAAGGGUGCUGGGAUUCCAACACAGGCUGCUUCUGGUCCCCUUGGAAGGAACCUAUCUCACCCUGCCAGGCACCUCUACACACGUGACCCCAUGCCUUCCUCCAUCCCUCCUGUGCCCUUGCCCUGGCCCCUAACCCCCUAGGUGUGCUGCUUCCUGCUCCCCUCCCCUGCAGGGCUCAUCACCAGCAGCCAGUCGGCAGCCUACGCCAUCAGCAAGUUUGUGAGCGGGGUGCUGUCUGACCAGAUGAGUGCCCGCUGGCUCUUCUCUUCUGGGCUGCUUCUGGUCGGCCUGGUCAACGUAGUCUUUUCCUGGAGCUCCAUGGUACCUGUCUUUGCUGCUCUCUGGUUCCUCAAUGGCCUGGCACAGGGGCUGGGCUGGCCUCCCUGUGGGAAGAUCCUGCGGAAGGUGAGUGUCUGCUCCCAAGAAGCCAGUUGAGACUGGCCGAGGGGAUACCUACAGGGCAUGUGGGAGUACCAGCACUCCCAUCCCCGAGCGGGUUCCUCGGGAGUUCCAGUCCAACUCCUGUUGCUCGUCGAGAUAUUUUAGGAGCUAAACAUGGUGGGAUCAGGUGGCAGAUGAGGGAAUUGGCCCUGCCAAGUAGAGGCGCCCUCUUCCUCGUCCCUGUAAUGUGAGCUUCUAGGUCUGCCCCUGCCCCACCUGACCCUCACCUUCAACAUGUUUAAUGUGGGCACCUACUCUGAACCCUCUGCCCCACAGUGGUUUGAGCCAUCUCAGUUUGGCACCUGGUGGGCCAUUCUGUCAACCAGCAUGAACCUGGCUGGAGGGCUGGGCCCUAUCCUGGCAACCAUCCUCGCCCAGAGCUAUAGCUGGCGCAGCACGCUGGCCCUGUCUGGGGCGCUCUGUGUAGUUGUCUCCUUCCUCUGUCUCCUGCUCAUCCACAAUGAACCCGCUGACGUUGGGCUCCGGAACCUGGACCCCGCCCCCUCCAAGGACAAGAAGGGUGAGCACGCACCCAGGCCGAAUCACUGGGGCACCUUCAUCCACCAUUCAUUUGGCAGACUUUCAUUGAGGUCUGGCUGUAUGCCUGGCCCUGUGCUAGCCGAUGGAGGCAGGGGGAGGGAUGGUGGUGGCAAGUUGGUGGGGAGUAAAUAAAACUCCGUUCCAAGAGACACUUAAGUACCAGACAAGCGGCAGAGCCAACAAAUGCUGUGUGACUCAUGUUAUAUCCCGGUCCUUCCUCACAGCAGAGCCAGACUUCCCUGUCCUGUCCUGGACAGCAUCCUAAGCUUAAGUGGCUUGGGUGCCUUCCUCCAUGUGCCCUGGUCCCGGUUUCAUUUGCUGAGGCCUGUAGUGGAGGGGACAGGGUAGAACAGUGGGUGAAGGGGUGCCUUCCUGCUGGUCCCUGGCUGUGUGGAUGGACUGUGGCCCUGUGGCUGGUUAAUGAGUGGUGGGGGCUCAGUCGGGGCAGAGCAGCAAGAGUGGAGCCUCAGGCCUGGCCUCCUCCUGCCCCCAGGCUCCUCGAAGGAGGAGAGUACUCUACAGGAGCUGCUGCUGUCCCCCUACCUGUGGGUACUCUCCACGGGCUACCUCGUGGUAUUUGGAGUAAAGACCUGCUGUACUGACUGGGGCCAGUUCUUCCUCAUCCAGGAGAAAGGACAAUCCGUCCUCGUGGGUAAGAUGAGUUUGGAACAGGGGUGGGCCUAGGGAGCAGGAGUCAAUGAAAGGGAUGGGAAGUUCAGGCCCAGCUUCUCUUUAUCCCUUCCUUCUUUCCCUGAGGCCAGGCACUACUCAGACAGCUGUGGUCGGUCACCCUUGGGGACCCUGUACCUCUCUGGGUUUAAGCCAGUCUGGGACAACCCCAGUGUGUAACACCCACCCUUCCUUUCCCUCUUCCCACCACAACUCCCUACUCCAGGUAGCUCCUACAUGAGUGCCCUGGAGGUUGGGGGCCUUGUAGGCAGCAUCGCAGCUGGCUACCUGUCAGACCGGGCCAUGGCAAAGGUGAGUGGGCAGACGGGACAGGAAGGAGGAGGGUCCCUUUAAACCUUCCCAGCGUGACUGGGACAGGCACCAGAGAGGCGGGAGCCCUGGGGCACGGGCAGGCUGGCAUAAGCCAGUUUAGGUUGGGGGAGGUUGGAAUGAUUCCAGGCUGCCGUUAUUCGCUGGGGGUGUGAAGGUUAAGACUCCUGGGGAAAAGGCUUUAAAUGAUGUCAAGGAGAGCUGGAAUGUCUCUCAGCCUGGCAGUGGGCUUCUCCACAGCCCCAGGAAAACUGGGGUUGAGGAGGAAGCAAGUGCAGCUUGCCAGCACAUGUCCCGACCCUGCCCCGUGGUGGAGGAAGGGAUGUUGUGGAGUUUGGCCUCUGAACACAACGAGCAGGUCCCGGGGCCUCCCAGAGCUGCCCGGGGCCAAGAGCUGUGGUGGGAUUGCCAAAGACCUGUCAGCAGAGGCCCUGCUGUAUCAGAGUCCAGGGGUGGAGGUUCUCUGCUGCUUUUAGGCCCUGACAUUGCUGGGACUGUAUCCACAGGCAGGCCUAUCCAUCUACGGGAACCCUCGCCAUGGCCUGUUGCUGCUCAUGAUGGCUGGCAUGACCGUGUCCAUGUACCUCUUCCGGGUCACUGUGACCAGUGACUCCUCCAAGGUAAAUAAGGAGGGCCUGGCCCACAGCAGGCACAAGGAUGAGAAAGCAAGGGCCGCCGACUCUCAGGCUUCCUCUCCCUGGCUCCACCCUGGCCCAGGCCUUUCUUUGCCUCUCAGAUCUCCCUUUCCAGGUCUGUCUUACCUCGUGUCCUCUUUGUACUUCGGUGCCCCUCCUGGACUCGGGACUUGGUUUCCUUUUCUUUCCUGUGCUCCUCUAGGAUGUUGCUUUCUGGACUCCAGCUCUUCACCCUCUCGCUGAGCUCACAGGCUUUACGGAGCACGAGGUGCCUUAUCUCUGGUUUUCUUCCUGGUUUGUCUUACCCUUGUCCUACUGUCUUCCUCGCCCCUAGCCAAUCCAGCUAGCAUGAGUUCUGAGAAGAGAUAGCAUCUAACUUGGAGGGACGGCUUCUGUACCUCCUUCACCUACCCACACAGGCCCUCGGGUUGGCUCGGUGUGGCACUCACUCCUCUAGCUCUGCCCUGUCCAUUGUAUCAGAAAGUGGGGUGAGGGAGGUCAUUUCCUGUGUCCUUAACUACAGUUAUUUGUUCUGUCCUCUGGCAGAGGUAGAUAGGUAGGUAGGCUCUCUCAAACUCUGAAUGCCACUCUGUGCUGCCCUUGCAGCUCUGGAUCCUGGUGUUGGGAGCCCUGUUCGGUUUCUCCUCCUACGGUCCCAUUGCCUUGUUCGGAGUUAUAGCCAAUGAGAGUGCUCCUCCCAACUUGUGCGGCACCUCCCAUGCCAUUGUGGGACUCAUGGCCAACGGUAAGCGGAGUCUCCACCUCACCCCUACUUGUGCCUCGCACUUAAGCCAGCUAUAGUCUGGGGCAGGCCCCGCCGGCCCUAGCCUCACAAAUGACCCAGACUCUUCCCCUCCUCCUUGGCAGUGGGCGGCUUUCUGGCUGGGCUGCCCUUCAGCACCAUUGCCAAGCACUAUAGCUGGAGCACGGCCUUCUGGGUGGCCGAAGUGAUCUGUGCAGUCAGCACAGUCGCCUUCUUUCUGCUACGAAACAUCCGCACCAAGAUGGGCCGAGUGCCCAAGAAGGCCGAGUGAAGACAGUACAGGCACCUGUGCAUCCUCUCCCACCUGUGGACCUUCCCCUGCACAGGGCUGGGGAGGUGCGGGGGCGGGGAGAAAGAAAGUGGGGCUGCUCCGGCUACCGAUGAACCUUGGAUCGCCUUUUUUGCUCCUUUUCCCUCGCCCAGGUGGCGCUGGAAGUUAUCAGUGGCUAAUGAGGUCCCAGCUCCCCAUCCUGUGCUCUAUUUAAAAGACAACUUUUGUUCUUGGACUUCAUUAGCUCCAAUUUCCUGCCUUCAAACAGGAAACCCCUACAGUGAGGGAGUCUCCAAUACCCUCUUCCUCUCCUGGACACUGCCCUACCCCCACCCCACCCCACCCCACCCCAUCCCCACAAGAGGUGAGGCUCCUCCUGUAGCUGCAGGGCACCAAUGGGCCAUGAUUUCUGCCCUAAGGCCUCUUAGCACACAGUGACUGUUCUUGCCAAUACCUCAAGAUUCCAGGCAGAGAGGAGGCCAUCACUCUCACCAAUACCCUGGGAACACGGGGGCCUGGGUGGGAGGGAGGAAGACUUGAUAAAGAGAUUAAAACUAGAUUUGAUACUAAAC
rnacentral:lncRNA from 1 species